GACAUCAGUCAACAUGUACCUUUCUCAGAAUGUGACCACCCGUAUCAACUUAUCUGAAAAGCAUAUGUGCAUCAUAUCUGUUGUACAGUUGGGGCAAAGAAAUCCUCAUUUCUAAUUACAAAUGAGGAAAACAUCUGGGAGAGGAAGGAGAGCCCAACUUCAUACAGCUGCAGAUCUUGUGCACACAGAGAUGUCUGAACUCAUCUUUGCAAAUCCGCCCUUCCUUUGCCCUCAGCCUGCUUGAAAUCGUUGUGUACCUACUUCGAUGCC